GAAACGCCCAAUAUCAUCAGAGCCUUCAAGGAGAAAGGCGGAAAGGAGAUGGAAGAGGAACACGAGAAACUUGCACAGGACAUGUGCGCCCUUCGGAAGGAACAAGAGCGGACUUCAGAGACCAUCAAUGCCCUUGUUGAGAGCCAAGAAAA